UGACAUUUUAUUACGCUAUUCUUCUUUUUUAAUCAAGACGUUUCUUUUCUUCUCGAUGUUUGGUGAAAAAAACUGAAAAGACUUCUUGAUUCGCUACUAAUUCUUUGCUGGUGUUUGGAACUAAUUAUCAUCAUCUUCAAUGCUGACGAAGUUCUUCCUACUAAUCCCACGAAUCAAUCAACUACCAUCCGCUAUUGUAUUAUUGUUGGUCCAUAAGGAAUGAAAGCAGCUUUUGACCUCAAGUUGUAGUAAUAAAUCUUACAAUUAGGGAUGCUCUCAAUCUUUUUGCUUAAAGGUUUAAACCAAGGUAAAGAAUGGAAGAUUCUACUGAUGAAAGAUGCAUGCUUGGAACUCCAAUCCAACCUAAUUAAUGUGUCAUGAACCCUAUAUUUUUGUAGGAGCUUGCUAUAUUUUAUGCGCUCAAUCACUGUCAUAGGCCAUGGAUUUCAUAUAUAUCUAGGCCGGGGAGGAGAUAAAUCAAUGGACGUGGUCUUUAAGUUAUUUUACUUUAAUUUCUAACUUUAUCUUUGCUAAUUCCCAUAUUAAGAUCCGGUGGUUAUGCGGAUAACUAGCUCAAUUUAUGUCGCAGAUGGAAGAAUGUUCUCUUGAUUUUCUAAUGGGUAGUUGAUUUUCUUCGCAAUUUUUGUUUUGUGGUGUACCUCAUGUGAUUUUAGGUCUGUAGUUCAGUAAUUUGUGCUUCUUUCCAUUUUAUGAAUUCUGAUUUCAGUUAUUUUGUUAACAAUUGUUGGUAACUAUUUACCUUUAAUUUGUUGUUCAUCAAUUUGUUUCUCUUUUCAUUUAUGAAUCCUCUUCCAUUCUAUGCGCCAUAAUAUGUUUCUUUUGGUUAUUUUGCUAUCGGGACAAUGUUGAUAGGGAAAAAUGAGUUGAUUGAUCUAUUUAAUUCGGUGAACUUAGCUGCAGGUGAUUCUUUUACUGAUCGGGUGAACGGUUAACCAUUAUGAUUUAUUAGUAUGCUCAAUUGAUCAUCUUUAUGUCUAUGUUAUUCGUGCUACGACGUUCUUACAUUGGCAGAUUCAAGAGAUCGCCAUUGGCAUUCCUUCAUAGGUUAGUAUUUAAGAAAUUGGAUGUUGGAGCAGAUAUGGGAAACUAAUCGUAGUGAGGCUAAGACAGCGAUUUGAUACAAACUCUGUUAUGGUGUUCAUAAAUUUGUGUCUAAGGACAAGUCACAUAUGAGAUGGAAAUGUAAUUCCUUCAUUAAAAAUUUAUUGUGUGUGGGGGUGGUCGGUCGGUGACUUAACUAUCCGAGCAAAAAGCAAACAUAAAAAGUAUAGAGGAAUGAACUUGGUACCUACUUUUGAGGAUGCUUCAAUGAGAAGACAUCCUAAAAGUGGUGAUUGGUACAUCUUUAAAGCUUAAAUAUUUGUUUUUAUUGUUCGCAUUUCUUUAAGUUCAAAUUGUGAAUUUAUUUUGCGUGGCUUAGCAAAAAGAAAAAAAUGAUCCUCGAUUGAUGCUUAUGCUAUUGAUGGCCUGAGAUAAAUCUAAAAUCUACGUUCAUUUCAGAUUUCUCACAUAUUGUGUUUCUUUUUAUUUUUGCAUUUGUUUAUAUUUUAUCCCGUAUUUGUUGUUUUGAUUGCUUUCCAAUGCCCAUGAACUCUAAAUAUCAUGUUUCAUAUAAAGAAGUAUAUAUAUCUUCGGGUAUCACAAUACGAGUGCCUGGAUAAAACAUAAUGUUGAUACAUGGUUUCAAACUCGCAUGCUAAAAGACUCAAAUACUGGAAAGUAGUCUACGUGACUUGUAGUCCAAGUUUAGACAGAUAUAGUGCAUAUUUGCUUCUAGGAAUUUUGUUGCGUGUGCCGCCUUUCCUAGCUCCAUGUUUUGCAAGUUUGGAAAUUUUGUGCACGUUAAAUAUAAGUCUUCUUUAGAUAAUAAUUUUAACAAUGAAACUUUAGUAUUUAGAUCCUGUUAAAGGUAAAAAAACUUUUUUCUCUAGGUAUCCUGCAAGCAUCCAAGAUGAGGGGAAUGUAUAUUGGCUUGAAGUUUUAGAUGCAUAUCAGAUUGUAAGAGGUCAAACAGUUCCUGGAAACCUGGUGCAGAGAUGAACAAGCUUGUUACUGCAUUUUAGAGCGAAUACGUUAAUCAUUUGAAUGACAAGAUCAUAAAAAUAGUAAUGUUGUGAAGAACUUCUGAUACCUCGCAUGGGAGUAGAAGGGAUACUUAUAUACAUCCAAAAGUUGAAAAGCAGACUAGGUUUGUUAUGGAUGAUUCAGUGAGUACAUAUAAAUCGUGACAAUGACAUUACAUUCAUUUGCAGGUGCGGUAUAUUGAUUUAAAACGCCGUAAAUUUGUGAAAACCAUUCCGAAUUAGUUUUUUCCACUAUAAUGGUUUUACUUUUAUUUUUAGAGAUGGUAAUCACAAUUGUUCCGUAAAUUGUAAAUUCAAAUUUAUUCAUUGUUGAUUUAGAUGAUCAAAGUGGGAAACUAAUCCCAAAAAUUAUACA